rnacentral:rRNA from 1 species
UACGGAGGGGGCGAGCGUUAUUCGGAAUUAUUGGGCGUAAAGAGCUCGUAGGCGGUUUGUUGCGUCGGCUGUGAAAUCCCGAGGCUCAACCUCGGGUCUGCAGUCGAUACGAGCAAACUAGAGUGUUGCAGGGGAGACUGGAAUUCCUGGUGUAGCGGUGAAAUGCGCAGAUAUCAGGAGGAACACCGGUGGCGAAGGCGGGUCUCUGGGCAACAACUGACGCUGAGGAGCGAAAGCGUGGGGAGCGAACAGG